GAAAUUGUUCCUCAUGCAGCACUUGGAGGUGUCUUGGGUAUAAGCAAGGCAGCACCAUGGUUUUCUUUUAGACUCAGGACCACGUACCCCAUUCUUAUCUGAGGACAAUACCUGGAGUCUUGGAGAUGAUUUCCCUCCAGAAUAUAACAAGUUCAAUAUGCUUUAGUUGAGAACAGUUGACUGCAUAGCUUACCAGUUUGUAGUCGCUCCUGACAGGCGACGGAGAAAUCUCAGCGUCGCACCUCGAACCGGAGACGGGUAAAUGGUCCAGCUAAUCUGUCUGUUGACUAACCAAGGACCAGCCAACGUCCAACUUGGACUAACAGCGCACGUGAGCACGUGGUGUCGGUGCUCAAACACUGUUGGCGCCUCUUAAUACACUCCACCUUGAAAAGCCCCGAACGACUCUGCUCUUCUCCACGAACUGUGGCUCUUCUCAUCGACUCGGGUAAAUCAUCCAUAAUUUCAAGUACCAAGAAUGCUCGAGAAGGUAUUUUGGUUGGGCUGCAACAGUUCCAUAGAGGAACUUCUGCAGGUCAUCAAAGCGGUGUGAUCGUUAGUCAUCUGGGGGUGGUUUAUGGCGGUGACUUUUCCCUAUAAAUAGGCAAGCUUAAUCUCAGGCAGGCUUGGCUCCGUCACCACUUAGGGGGUUGAGCGAUCGGUGUUCCUGCGGAACUGAGUCUCCGUCCAAGUGAGAGACCCAAGGGCACCGAUUGCUGGCGGUGCGGCGGGGCUACAACGCUGGAGAUCGGCCAGUGAUGGGGCAGAGAGUGACACCGGCCCCCAGUCUUUCCCACCAAAAUUUGACUAGCCCGUCAAUCCCGGUGGCAGUGAUCUUCUUUCGGAGCUCCUCAUAUUCCAAAGAAUCAGACUUGGUUGGAGGGGUGACGAGGAUAGGGAUGUGUAUCUCAUUCAUGUGCUGGGAUGUAUAUCGCAUUUGUAUGCUAGGAUGUGUAUCGUAGUUGUAUGCUAGGAUGUAUAUCGCAGUUAUAUGCUAGGGUGUAUAUCGCAU